rnacentral:rRNA from 1 species
UACAGAGGUGGCAAGCGUUGUUCGGAAUUACUGGGCGUAAAGGGCGCGUAGGCGGUCUUCUAAGUCUUGUGUGAAAUCCCUCGGCUCAACUGAGGAACUGCACGGGAUACUGGAAGACUUGAGUUCGGGAGAGGGAAGCGGAAUUCCGGGUGUAGCGGUGAAAUGCGUAGAUAUCCGGAGGAACACCAGUGGCGAAGGCGACUUCCUGGCCUGUUCUUGACGCUGAGGCGCGAAAGCUAGGGGAGCAAACGGG